CUUCUGAAUGAAGCGGAGGGCCCUUGGCAGUGGCUCUGAUUAUAUCAAGACAAGAGUCACUUUGGCCAGUGUCCUAUGGGUGGCAAAUUACAGCCAUUAGACCAAGAGCAAAGCUGAACAGAAGAAAGGCUUGUAGAAAAGCCUUGUGCAGAACCUGAGCGUGUCUGGGUCUCUGGAUCCUCGAUGCCAUGUUUCUCUGCCAGCUCAUCCAGGAAGUCAAAAAG